AGAGUUUGAUUCUGGCUCAGGAUGAACGCUAGCGGCAGGCCUAAUACAUGCAAGUCGAACGGGGUAGCAAUACCUAGUGGCGGACGGGUGCGUAACACGUAUGCAACCUACCCAUGAGUGAGGGAUACCGGCUUGAAAGGGCCGUUAAUACCGCAUGAUGCAGCGGGCCCGUUAGGGGCAUGAGUUGUUAAAGCUGCAAGGCGCUUAUGGAUGGGCUUGCGUCUGAUUAGUUAGUUGGCGGGGUAACGGCCCACCAAGACGACGAUCAGUAACUGGUCUGAGAGGAUGAUCAGUCACACUGGCACUGAGACACGGGCCAGACUCCUACGGGAGGCAGCAGUAGGGAAUAUUGGGCAAUGGGCGCAAGCCUGACCCAGCCAUGCCGCGUGAGGGAUGAAGGAGCUUCGCUUCGUAAACCUCUUUUAAUUGGGACUAAGGGGUUUGUAACUCAAGCCAUUGCAGGUACCAAAGGAAUAAGGACCGGCUAACUACGUGCCAGCAGCCGCGGUAAUACGUAGGGUCCAAGCGUUGUCCGGAUUUACUGGGUUUAAAGGGUGCGUAGGCGGCUGUUUAAGUCGGUGAUGAAAUGCGGGGGCUUAACCUUUUGCGCUGUUACCGAUACUGGACGGCUGGAGAUAGCGUAAGGCAGCUGGAAUAAGUGGUGUAGCGGUGAAAUGCGUAGAGAUCACUUAGAACACCGAUUGCGUAGGCAGGUUGCUGGCGCUGAUCUGACGCUGAGGCACGAAGGCAUGGGGAUCAAACAGGAUUAGAUACCCUGGUAGUCCAUGCAGUAAACGAUGGAUACUAGCUAUUUGGGAUGUAAGUCUUGAGUGGCCAAGCGAAAGUGAUAAGUAUCCCACCUGGGAAGUACGCCCGCAAGGGUGAAACUCAAAGAAAUUGACGGGGGCCCGCACAAGCGGUGGAGUAUGUGGUUUAAUUCGAUGGUACGCGAGGAACCUUACCUGGGCUAGAAUGCGCGCGACCGGCUCAGAGAUGGGUUUUCCCCGCAAGGGGCGCAAAGCAAGGCGCUGCAUGGCUGUCGUCAGCUCGUGCCGUGAGGUGUUGGGUUAAGUCCCGCAACGAGCGCAACCCCUGUGAUUAGUUGCCAGCGCGUAACGGCGGGGACUCUAAUCAGACUGCCUUCGUAAGGUUGAGGAAGGGGGGGACGACGUCAAGUCAUCAUGGCCCUUACGCCCAGGGCUACACACGUACUACAAUGGUCGGUACAAAGGGCAGCAAGACCGCGAGGUGGAGCGAAUCCCAAAAAGCCGAUCUCAGUUCGGAUUGGAGUCUGCAACUCGACUCCAUGAAGUUGGAAUCGCUAGUAAUCGCGUAUCAGCAACGACGCGGUGAAUACGUUCCCGGGCCUUGUACACACCGCCCGUCAAGCCACGGAAGCUGGGGGCGCCUGAAGUCGGGGGACCAAAUCCCUGCCGAGGGCGAAACUGGUAACUGGGGCUAAGUCGAAACAAGGUA
rnacentral:rRNA from 1 species